UCGGGUUGGGAGAUCCCGAGCCUGAGGCGAGCGUGGGCGGCACACACCUUCCCUUCCACUUUCAUCACCCCAGGGGUCAGGGAUCCGUCAAGGGCCAACGGAUGUUUCCUCCUUCCUCUGUAGCAGUCCCAGAGUCCUGACAUUGCCUAGCCAGAGUUUCUCGCGUCUGCCAGAGCAGCCGCUCCUCUAUCCAGGGCACUCAGAUUCCCAAGGAAACCCCCCUGAGGAGUUAGCAACCACCUACUAGUAGGUUUCGGUCCCAGGAUACUAAAGGUCAGGUAAAAAUGGGGAAAUGGGGGGAGGGUGUCUCUGAAAAGUACGUUGAUAAAACACCUAUUGUUGACUGAGUGUAUAUUACAUUGGAUUAAUGGAAUACGGCCUACUUAAACCUGGCUAUGGUUCCACCAUUAGUGGCUGUUGGCAAGCUGCCUCUGAAAAAUGAGGAUAAUAAAGGUUGAUUACUGCUCAGGGUUGCUCUGAGGUUUAAAUGCUAUAAUGCAUGUGAAAUGCUUAGUAUGGUACCUGAAAGUACUCAGUGUUAGAUAUUAUUACAUGGACAAAUGAAGUAAAAAAUAUGACCCGAAAAGACUUCAGGUCAACUUUCCUGAAUUGUGCAGAAAUAGGCAUCAAUCGCUUUUACUAACCAGGUUUACAGCUCUAUAUCCUGUCUCCACUUCUUCCAUUGUACUCAAUCAACAGAUUCACUGAAACUCGAACUGAGGGGACACAGUGGUGAGGGAAACAAACUGUCUGGCUUCUUGGGGCUGACAGUCUAGUGGGAAAAAGAGGGACAAAUAUUUCAUCACAUUUUCAGGGAAGCAUGCUAUAAAGGUUAUGAACAAAAUUUUGGAAAAGCAGAUACCAGGAUAGCUUUGAAAAAACUGGUCAGGAAAGGCCCAUCCGAGGGAUAAGGAGCCAAUAAUGAAAGAAAUGCCCUGGGGAAUUAUUUAAGAUAGAGGAAAUGGCUGUGCAAAGGACCUGUGGUAGGAAAGAACUUGGCUGUUGGAAUUGAGGGGAGUCCAUGGUGCAAGGAGGAGCCUGUCCUGAGAUUGGAGAGAUUGCUUCAGAGCUGCUGUCUCCUGGGCUUGGACAACGUGUCAGCAUCCGUCUUUGUCAUCACAAUCCCGGUGUUGCCCUGGGUGCUGGGUGCCUUGCAGAGCCAGCAGGCCAGCCCCAGGCAUGCCCUCUGGGUAUUUUGGCAGAAGACUGAAGGGGAACUAGAGAGACUGUUCAGAAUUAGACAAUAAAGAUAAAAGAGGGGCAGAAUCAGGCAAAGUGUUUUCAUUGGAAUCUUCCACUUUUAUGCUGAGAAGCAGGCAAGGCAAAAACUCUGGAUUCAGUUUGCAGGUGAGGAAACAGAGACCCAGAGAAAAGACACUAAUUGCCGGAAAACAUUCAGUGAUCAUGUGACAUUUGUCCUGGUGUUGACCUAUUCACAGAAGCAGGUAACAAAAUUCUGUUCUCUAGAAAGCAACAAUUGUAAUCUCUGUCACCAGAGAAUCCCAUACAAGGCCCCCGCCCCUUGACUAAGAAGAAAUGUUUUUGUCCUGCUUUCUCAUCCUUUUUCCAGCUGAGUCUGUAAAUACCUGCUACUCAGACACUCAGAAUAUUUCAGUGGCUCCAGAUUUUAAUCUGACCUUUGCACAGCCAUUUGCCUAUACUGUCAUGCCUGUAAUUAUAUAACUGCUUUAUUUUAAUGCCUGUAAAUAGGAGCUCAGUCAUCUAAGAAAAGUUCAGGAAAAGCAGAACCAUAGAACUAAAACUCAGUAAAACCAUUUCCCAUCUUAGUUCCCUAGCAUCCAUGAGGAUUCAGGUUCGAUCCCUGGUCUUGCUCAGUGGGUUGAGUAUGUGGCCUUGCCGUGAGCUGUGGUGUAGGUCGAAGAUGCAGCUUGGUUCCCGAGUUGCUGUGGCUGUGGUGUAGGUCGGCAGCCACAGCUCCGAUUUGACCCCUAGCCUGGGAACCUCCAUAUGCUGUGAGUGUGGCCCUAAAAAAAAAUACAAAAAAAAAAAAAAAUUCUCAAGUUCUUGUUGUGACUUCGAGGGUUAAGACCUGAUGUAGUGUCUGUGGGGAUGUGAGUUUGAUCCCUGGCUUUGCCAGUGGGCUAAGAAUCCAGCGCUGUGGUGCAGGUCAGAUCUGGUGUUGCCAUGGCUGUGCAUGAUUCGACCCCCAUCCUGGAAACUUCCAUAUGCCACAGGUCCAUCCAGCUGUAAAAAGAAAAAGAAAAAAAAAAUUUCUCUACAGCUUGAUUGAGGUAAAAUUGAUGUAUGAUAAAGUGCACUAUUUAAAGUGUACAGUUUAAUGAAUUUUAAUGUGUGUAUAUGCCUAUGAAACCACUACAGUCAAGAUCAGAGAUGGCUUUUCCAUCUCAGAGUCUAAAAGGGUGUGUGCUCCCAGUUCAAAACUAACUGGUAACAAAGUGAGACCUGGAGUUCCCAUCAUGGCUCAGCAGAAAUGAAUCUGACUAGCAUCCAUGAGGCCACAGGUUCAAUUCCUGGCCUCGUUCAGUGGAUUAAGUAUCCGGUGUUGCCGUGAGCUGUGGUGUAGGUUGCAGAUGUGGCUUAGAUCUGGUGUUGCUGUGGCUGUGGCAUAGGCUGGCAGCUGUAGCUUCAAUUUGACCCCUAGCCUGGGAACCUCCAUAUGGCACAGGUGUGGCCCUAAAAGACUAAAAAAAAAGAAAGUGUGCCUUCCUCUUCUGAGUAACAAUACUGGCCCCUGCAGGGCCAUCUUUAUUUCAAUCUCUGUUAUCAUUGAAGAGGCAGCUCUCCAUUUGACCUCUAUGUGGCUUUUCCUUCUUGCCCACAGUUACAACAUUCUCUUUUCAGUUUCAGGUCCCUUUUUCUGCUAAAUCAUCCACUUCUUAUCUACAAGCCCCCUUUCAAUCUUAAAAAUGAACAAAAGCAAAACAAAAAAGUCAAUACUUCUUCCUGCCUCCUCCUCAUUCCUCCCUUCAGUCACUCAUGGCUCCCUCUCCUGCCCCCUAGUUAGUUCAUGGCCACACUUCCAGAAAUAGUUGCUCAUAUUCACUCUCUCCACAUCCUCACUUCCUCCUCUCCCUCAAAGCCACCCCGCCCCCUUGCUGCACAGAUACCUUUCUUGGCCAGGUCACUCACUAACCUCCCUGUUGUUGCUACAUCCCAUGAACCCAUCUCAGUCCUUAUCAUACUCUGACACCAUUGACCACUGUGUCCUUUGGUUGGUUGUUUUUACAAAAGUAACAGAUGCGCUUUUUUUUUUUUUUUUUUAAGAGUCAAAUACUGAAUAAAAACAUUAAGACUCUCCCCCUGCCGCCCUACUGCAGACAGAGCCACUGUCACAAGAACCCUCAGCUACUAGACAGCCACCCCAGGUAGCUGCCCAAAGCAUAGCAUAGCCUCAGGAAGUCCCAGAAAUUAGUCCCUGUAGACUUCUAACUUGGGAAAAAUCUCUUACUUGCCCUAUCAUAAACACCAGAGAAGCUAAGAAAUGUUUAUAAACAAACACACAAAGAAAAAGAGAAGAAAGUGCAUAUAGUAACUCUCCAACUCUGGUUUCAAUAUGUCUUAAAGGUGACAUGGUGGCAGGGUCUGCAUGACUCAUCCCUGUCGGUCUCUCCAGGCAGGAAGCCUUUCUGGCCCUGGUUUUCCUGAUAGCAGCCCUUUGUUUUCCCCUUAUCCUUGGGAGAAUGAUAGGAAUGAAGAAUAUAGGGCCCCCGGGACCUUGUGAGGCUGACCUAGCAGCCAUCAAGGUUUAUAGUCUUGUAGACAAAUACACAAAAAUGGGUUUUUUAUGACCAGUGUUUUUUACCCAAGAUAAAGUACAAAGCAGGACAUAAGAAUCACCCACCCAAAUCUCACCAACCAGAAUAGCACCAUAACAGUUUUGGUGAGCAUAUUUAAACGUGUCUCUAUUCUGUGUAUACACUUAGAGGUAUAUAUACAGUUUCACAUACAUGGGAUCAUGAUUUACAAGUUAUUCUGUAACUACUGUUUUCACUCGGAACAUGCAAUGGAUAGCUUUCCAGGUCAAUAACUAUAGACUAACACUGUGAUUGCUACUGCUCGCCUGCCAUUCAGAAUAUUUACGAGCCAUGAUUUACUCACCCAGCCUCUUAUUGUUGGGCAGUUAGGUGGUUCGCAUUUUUUGAUAUCAUAUACUACACAGUGAUAAACAUUCUGUGUUCAGCUUUUAGCUUUUGUACAAUUUUCUCCUCAGGCUAAUUUGUAGAAGUGGACUAGCUCCAUACAAUGGUGUGUACAUUUCACAUUUUGACACAGUUAGGCUAACUUCCUUCCAGAAAUGUUAUGCCAAUUUAUUUUCCCACCAACACUGAAUUUAAAAGCAUCUUUUCCCCGCGUGCGGCGUGUCUCGCCGCGCGUCCGGACCGGGGUCCGGUGCGGAGAGCCUUUUGACCUGGGAAACGGGGCGCGGCGGGAAAGCAAGGCCGCCCCCUCGGCCGCCCGUCACGCACCGCACAUUCGUGGGGAACCUGGUGCUAAACCGUUCGCAGACGACCUGCUUCUGGGUCGGGGUUUCCUACAUAGCAGAGCAGCUCCCUCGCUACGAUCUAUUGAAAGUCAGCUCUCGACACAAGGGUUUGU
rnacentral:lncRNA from 1 species